GACGUAGGGUGCAAGCGUUGUCCGGAUUUAUUGGGCGUAAAGAGCUCGUAGGCGGCUUGUUGCGUCGACUGUGAAAACCCGCGGCUUAACUGCGGGCUUGCAGUCGAUACGGGCAGGCUAGAGUUCGGUAGGGGAGACUGGAAUUCCUGGUGUAGCGGUGAAAUGCGUAGAUAUCGGGAGGAACACCUGUGGCGAAGGCGGCCCCCUGGUUGGAUACUGACGCUGAUACGCGAAAGCGUGGGGAGCAAACAGG
rnacentral:rRNA from 1 species